AUAAAACUCAGCCUCUCUGGGAGCAAAUUGUCACUCUCAACAUUCCGCAGGCUGGUGGCGGCGCGGGCUGUCCUCGGACGCAAACUACACCUCCCAGGAUUCCGCGAGCCAAGGGGGUGGUUCUGGCCGGGACCGGAGCGACUGAACUCGCGGCUUUGCGCACGCGCACAGGCUCCGCGCCGGGCUCGCCAGCCGGGCAGGCGCACGAGGGACACCUGCGAACCUGGAGGUGGCGGAGGCUGCGAACCCGGCGGCGCGGCCAAACCUGCGCUGGCUGCAUGGGCCUCCUGGGCCAGGAGCUGGCGCUGGGGGCGGCGGCGGUGUGGGAAAGUGGCGCCGCAGUGGGGCCUCCUGGACGUGUUGGCGGAGGUGGCUUCAGUCCCGCGGAGCCCAGGCUUCAGAUCUUCCAGCUCAUCCUUUCAUAUUAGUCAUGAGGAAUCUCAGUCCCGCAGAGCUAGGAAAGAGCAUAGGUCCCCUCAUCCCCAGGGAUGGUCAGCACGUUCCUUCCUGCGCCUUGGGCCCCUGCGAGAAGAAGAGGAGAGUGGAGAUCUUCAGCAGAAAGGAAGACAUGGUGCUGGUGGCUGGACCCUCCGUGGCCAUGUAAGUAUGCUGGCUAGCAAGUUCUUGCUCUGAGCCUUGCUUUAGAAAAUAUUUAGCAAUAAACAAAGCCUUCUAGUAAACAUUGCACUAACUAGAAAAUUAGAUUACCAAAUCCCCCAUUCCCCAAUGGUCCUUGACAAUCUCAGCUUGGUUGUCAGUGGAAUACUUUCCCCCCGGGAGCUGCUAAUCACGUGAUUCCCAAGGUUUCUUAAAUUGGAUGAAAUAAUAAAUGUGAAAGGUGGAACCUACAAAUGUCAUCAUGGGCUUUGGAGUCAGUCUUGGUUUUGAAUCCUAACCCCUCCACUUAAUCGCUGUGUGAUGUUGGGCAAUUCACUUAAUGCCUUUAAGCAUACUUCCUUAAAUGUGAAAUUGAAUUAAUAGCAUUUACUUCAGGUUUGUAGUGGGGAAUAAAUGAGAUAAUAAUGUAAAGCAGUUAGCACUGUGCCUGGCUGAGAGUGAAAGCCAGUGAACAGGAGUUAUUUUACCAUUAUGAUUAAUAAUAAUAUUAGAAAAAUAAUUGUCAGGCAUGGUGCUUUGCCUUU
rnacentral:lncRNA from 1 species